UACGAAGGGGGCUAGCGUUGCUCGGAAUUACUGGGCGUAAAGGGCGCGUAGGCGGAUACUUAAGUUAGAGGUGAAAGCCCAGGGCUCAACCCUGGAACAGCCUUUAAUACUGGGUAUCUUGAGUUCGGGAGAGGUGAGUGGAACUCCGAGUGUAGAGGUGAAAUUCGUAGAUAUUCGCAAGAACACCAGUGGCGAAGGCGGCUCGCUGGCCCGGUACUGACGCUGAGGUGCGAAAGCGUGGGGAGCAAACAGG
rnacentral:rRNA from 1 species